GGGGGGGGCUGCUUAAAUGCAAGUCGAACGGCAGCGGGGGUAGCUUGCUACCUGCCGGCGAGUGGCGAACGGGUGAGUAAUACAUCGGAACGUGCCCUGUAGUGGGGGAUAACUAGUCGAAAGACUAGCUAAUACCGCAUACGACCUGAGGGUGAAAGUGGGGGACCGCAAGGCCUCAUGCUAUAGGAGCGGCCGAUGUCUGAUUAGCUAGUUGGUGGGGUAAAGGCCCACCAAGGCGACGAUCAGUAGCUGGUCUGAGAGGACGAUCAGCCACACUGGGACUGAGACACGGCCCAGACUCCUACGGGAGGCAGCAGUGGGGAAUUUUGGACAAUGGGGGCAACCCUGAUCCAGCAAUGCCGCGUGUGUGAAGAAGGCCUUCGGGUUGUAAAGCACUUUUGUCCGGAAAGAAAUCGCACUGGUUAAUACCUGGUGUGGAUGACGGUACCGGAAGAAUAAGGACCGGCUAACUACGUGCCAGCAGCCGCGGUAAUACGUAGGGUCCAAGCGUUAAUCGGAAUUACUGGGCGUAAAGCGUGCGCAGGCGGUUGUGCAAGACCGAUGUGAAAUCCCCGGGCUUAACCUGGGAAUUGCAUUGGUGACUGCACGGCUAGAGUGUGUCAGAGGGAGGUAGAAUUCCACGUGUAGCAGUGAAAUGCGUAGAGAUGUGGAGGAAUACCGAUGGCGAAGGCAGCCUCCUGGGAUAACACUGACGCUCAUGCACGAAAGCGUGGGGAGCAAACAGGAUUAGAUACCCUGGUAGUCCACGCCCUAAACGAUGUCAACUAGUUGUUGGGGAUUCAUUUCCUUAGUAACGUAGCUAACGCGUGAAGUUGACCGCCUGGGGAGUACGGUCGCAAGAUUAAAACUCAA
rnacentral:rRNA from 1 species